UCUUGCUGAUUGUGUCAUUCCGUGUUUGUUCUAAUGCUCUGUCGACAUGGAACAGUCUCUCUGUGGAAUGAAUUGAAACUGGAUGCAUACCUGCACCUAGCUACCAGAGCAGCUGUUAAUUCUUCACACAAAGUGUUGUAUAAACUCAGCAUCUCUGGAAAAGAAUAAAGUGUGGAUGCCUCAGGCCGAGAUGCUUCAUCCUUACUGCAGGCUUUGACAUUUUCCGUGUUACUGGAGAUACAAGAAAUUGCAGAAGCUGGAAUCUUGAGCAGCAAGCAAUAUACGGGAGGAAACCAACAGGUCAGGCAUCAUCUGUGGAAGAAAAUGAACAGUCAAAGUUCAAAGUACAUUUAUUAUCAAAGAAUAAGGCCUAACCUGGCCAACUGGCCAAGAAAUUAAGCAAGGGUGAGGAAAUGGAACAUUCCAGAUUAUUCUUUGGAGCAAGAACAAAAAAUGUUGGAAAAAUUCAGUCAGCAUUUACAGAGAGAGAACGCCGCAGUUAACAGCUCAGAUUGGUUCCGUCACCCCGAAUUUUUAUCUUAGUUUUUACACACAUACUGCCUGACCUGGGACAAUUUCAAGGGAAAAUCCCAGGAGAUCAUUAGUUUCUGAGAUACUCAAACCACCCCAUCAGGCACUAACAAUCGUUCCACGUUCCAGGUCACUCAGAUCACAGUUCUUCCCCAUUCUGAUGUUUGUAUCUGAACAACAACUGAACUGUUUGAUCGUGAAUGCAUGCCUUUAUGCAUUGAGUUGCUGCCACAUGAUUGGCUGAUUCAAUAUUUGAAUUUAUGAGCAAGUGUACCUAAUAAAGUGGCCACUGAGUGUAUGUCCACAAGUAAAUCUUAUCUCUAGCUUGGGACUGGUCAAUGUGUGAGUGAGUAGACCAGUGGUGGUUUUAUAUUUUUAUAUUCAUUCCCCUACUUCCUUUCCUUGCUGAAUCAAAAAAUAAAUGGCAAUGUUGGCCUCUUUACUGUAUUCACGAUGAGGACUGAAUAAUCAUUAAAUGUAACAAUAUGCUCUUAGCAAUAACUUUAGGUAUCUUUAUCUAUCAGAAGUUGUCUGAUGAAAAGAGAUUCUGAAACCUGCCACAGUUAAGCAGCUUCCAAUGCCAGCAAAUCUUUUCUUAGAUGAGGAGCCCAAAACUGUUCACAAUACUCAAGGUGAAGUCUCUCCAGUGCCUUAUAAAGCCUUAGCAUCACAUCCCUGCUCUUGAAUUCCAGACCUCUUGAAAUGAAUGCUAACAUUGCGUUUGUCUUCCUCUCCACCGACUCAUCCUGCAAGUUAGCCUUUAGGGUGAUCCGAACAGGGAUUCCCAAGUCCCCUUGCGUCUCAGGAUUUUGGAUUUUCUGCCUGUUUAGAAAGUAGCCUGCACAUAUAUGUCUUCUACCAAAGUGCAUGACCAUGCAGUUUCCAUGUAUUUAAUUUGCCACUUUCUUGCCCAUUCUCCUAAUCUGUCUAAGUCCUUCUGCAGCCUUCCUGUUUCCUCAACACUACCUGCCCCUCAAACAAUCUUCAUAUCAUGUGAAACCUCAGCAAACAAAAUCAUUUAUGACAUCAUCUAAAUCAUUGAUAUACAGUAUAAAAAGGAGUGGUCCCAAUACCAACCUCUGCGGAACACCACUAGUUACUGGCAGCCAAACAAAACAGGAAUCUUUUACUCCACUUGCUGCCUCCUACCAAUCAGCCAAUGCUCUAACAAUGUCAGUAGCUUUCAUGUAAUACCACAGACUCUUAACUUGGUAAGCAACCUUAUCUGAGGCACCUUGUCAAUGGUCUUCUGAAAAUUCAAAUAUACCACAUCCACUGCAUCCCUUUCAUCUAUCCUAAUUGUAAUUUUCUCAAAGAAUUCCAACAGGCCCAUCAAGCAAGAUUUUCCCUGAAGGAAACUAUACCCAUGCUGACUUUGUCCUAUCUUGUCCUGUGUCACCAAGUACUGCAUAACCUCAUCCUUAACAAUUGACUCCAACAUCUUCCUAAGCACUGAGGUCAGGCUAACUGGUCUAUAAUUUUCUUUCUGCUGCCUCCAUCCUUUCUUAAAAAGUGGAGUGACGUUUGCAAUUUUCCAGUCCUCUGGAACCAUGCAAGAGUCCAAUGUUUCUUGAAAGAUCAUUUCUAAUGCCUCCACAAUCUCCACCUCUACCUCCUUCAGAACCCUAGGGUGCAGUUCAUCUCGUCCAGAUGACUUAUGUACCUUUAGGUCUUUUAGCUUUUCAAGCACCUUCUCCCUUGUAAUAGUGAUUGUACUUACUUCUCUUCCCUCAUACCCUUCAACACCCGGCACACUGCAAGUGUCUUCCAUAGUGAAGACUGGUGCAAAAUAUUAGUUUAGUUCUUCUGCCAUCUCCUUGUCCCCACUAUUAUUUCUCUGGCCUCAUUUUCUAGUGGUCCCAUAUCCACUAUCAUCUCUUUUAUUUUUAAGUCCUUGAAAAAGUUCUUUUCCAUUUGCUAGCUUGCUUUAAUAUUUCAUCUUUUCCCUUCUAAAGAUUCUUUUAGUUGCUUUCGGUAUGUUUUUAAAAGCUUCUCAAUCCUCUAUAUUCCAACUAUUUUUUGCUUUGUUGUAUGCCCUCUUUUGCUUUUACUUCCCUUGUCAGCCAUGGUUGUACUAUUUUGCCAUUUGAGUAUUUCUUCGUUUUUGGAAUACAUUUACCUGUAGAUUUUAUCUUCACCUUCAUAAGUUAUUGUGUGUUAUAUUUGUAAUGUGUACUACUGUGCUUUACAUCUGGUUUGAAGAAACAUCGUCUCAUUUAUAUAUACAUUACAUACAUGUAUGUAGUUAAAUGACAAUAAAUU